CACAAAUCUCCACCUUGAAUCCAACAUUUUAGGGUUUAUUGAUUCUUCUAUUCUCUGAUUUUUAUCAUCCUUUUUUCAAGUAAGUCAAAGCCUACCAGCUCAAAGCAUUUUUGGAGCUUCAGCUUUGAAAUUGGCUUGGUUAGCAUGCUGGCAGCAUUUUUAGAGUAUUGCUUUAAAAGGAUAUUCUCCUUACACAUUGAGCCAACGAUAGUAAGGGAUGAUCGAGACAAGGAGGUUGGUGGAGCUGAGAUUGAUGGAUUAGUUGUUAGAUCAGCUGAUGAACAAAAUAUAGAAAAGCCUAAAAAACAAAGAAAGUGAGGACUUGCGAUCAUGUUCGAUGUGACACGUGUUCGGAAUGAAGGUGAGAGAAAAUUGGUAGAAUACAACGAAGAUGGCAUACCUAUUGGAGAAAAUAGGGUGAAGCUAAACUCUUUUAUUGGGUCCUGUGUACACUACCACAUUCCCAUUAACUAUGCAUCAUGAACAAAUAUGCCUUCAGAAUUGAAGGAAAAGAUCUAUAACAUAGUUAAGGCUGCAUUUAUAAUCGAUAGUUGGUCUAGAAAGAGCAUUGAUCUUAAGAUUGCAAGGACAACAUUCCAUAAAUUUAAGCAUUGGUUGACGAAGAAGCAUAUCUUGCCAUUCAGGAAUGAACCUAAACUUUUGAGAUGACCACUGGACAUGUAUUCUUACAUUAACCAAAAACAGUGGAAAAUUUUUGUUAGAUUUAGACUAUGCCCACUUUUUAAGGACAAAAGAAAACUUCAAUAAGAGAGACGAAAGAAAAAUAAGUAUAACCAUUGACUUUCAAGAAUAAGUUAUGCUAAUCUUCAAGAGGAAUUGCCAAGAAGUAGUUUAUGUUUGAAUUAGUCUUAAAAGCUUCUUAAUCAAGUUAUUGGAUGUAUAUGUUGAAAUGUAAAAAAAUAUACCUUUAGAAUAAGGUGAUCUUGACCAAAAUAGCAUGUGGAAGAAGGCUCGUGUAGAUAAUAAGGAACAAUACGACAAUGAAGAUGUCCAAGAAGUGAAUCAUAUAGAUGAGAUCUCAAGGACUUGUGUUGACAAAUAGUCAUCUCCAAACAAUGUUUUGAUACAAGCUUUGGGUACAAAAGAGAGUAGUAGAUGUGUACGUGGAGUUAGCGGGUUUAUCACCCCAACAACUUACUUCCACACAACAAAACACUGAAAGAAACGAAGUGAAAGAAUUGAGAAGCUUAGUCAAGAGAAUGAAAAGCUGCAUUUGCGAGUUCAAGAGUUAGAGAAUAUUCACUACCAACACAAUCUACACUGACGUCUGCACAUGGAUCUUGGUCCAGACCAAGUUUGGGAUAUGUGAUUCAAUGUAAAAAAAAAUAUGAAAAAUGAGAAAAUGAAUGUCACAACGAAGGUGGUUAAAGAGGAGGUGAAUGUGGAUGUGAUUAUUUUGAAUGAUCAACAUGAGGAUGCUAUCGAGGUAUUUGCAAUCACAAGAUCAUGUUUCAAAUUACAUCUUCGUUGACCCGUCCCUUAUAUCUGUUGGACAAAUACCCAAGAAGUUAGAGCUCGCAAUCUGUGCAGUAGAUUAAUGAUUUAAAAAAAAAACCAACUCGUUCUGGCUCCAUCUAAUCCAAGAACAUAUUUCUCUUAGUGAAGCAGUGAAGGAAGCAGUGUGGUUGAAAAGAAUUGUCGGGAAAAGAGAGAAUGUGAAGUGGGGGAAGCAGCUAAAAAAACCAAGAGAGAGAAGCUUCGGCGACAACAUACAAAACUGAAAGAGAGUAGCCCUACAUUUUUCGGCGUUCCAAUGUAAAGAGAGAGCACCAACGUUCGACGUUGAUGUGAGUUUGACAGCGUUCAUUUCGAGCAGUUGCAUAUAACGCUGGCAGUGGUUUUGACAUUUGUCGACAAGUUCUUUUGGGUUUUGGUGGCAGAUUUCGACGUUUGGGUGUUCUACAGUCGGUCGGUGGUUGUUUACAUGGAUUGUUCAACGAGUUUGGGUCUUAGUUUCAGAGGCAUCUUCUGGCAC